rnacentral:misc_RNA from 1 species
GAACCCAUCGGAGAGAGAACAUGUAGCUAACAAUCCUAGCUUACGAGGUUUUGAGGUUAUUGAUGAAGCGAAGGCUGAAAUUGAAGCCUUAUGUCCACAAAUUGUGUCGUGUGCAGACAUUCUUGCUUUUGCUGCACGCGACAGUUCCUACAAGCUUGGAGGGAUAAACUACGCCAUGCCAGCCGGACGGCGGGAUGGACGUGUGUCAAGAGAGGACGAAGUGGAACAAAAC